rnacentral:rRNA from 1 species
CAAUAGCGUAUAUUAAAGCUGUUGCGGUUAAAAAGCUCGUAGUUGGAUUUCUGUCAAGGACAACUGGUCCGCCCUCCGGGUGAGCACAUAGUUUGGUCUUGGCAUCUUGCUGGCAACUGUUGCUGCGCUUGGUUGUGUGGUGCAGCUUUCAGCACUUUCACUUUGAGGAAAUUGGAGUGUUUCAAGCAGGCACAUGCCUUUGGACACAGUAGCAUGGAAUAAUUAGAUUGGGCUUUUGCUCCAACUUGUUGGUUCCUGGAGCUGAGGUGAGAAUCAAUGGGGAUUGUUGGGGGCAUCCGAAUUUAGCCGUCAGAGGUGAAAUUCUUGGAUCUGCUAAAGACGGACAACUGCGAAAGCGUUUGCCCAGGAUGUUUUCAUUGA